rnacentral:tRNA from 1 species
GGCUCUGUAGCUCAGUGGAUUAGAGCGUCUCCCUCCGAAGGAGAAGGUCGCUGGUUCGAUUCCAGCCAGAGUCACCA